rnacentral:rRNA from 1 species
GCCAGACUCCUACGGGAGGCAGCAGUAGGGAAUAUUGCUCAAUGGGGGAAACCCUGAUGCAGCGACGCCGCGUGGGUGAAGAAGCGCCUCGGCGCGUAAAGCCCUGUCAGCAGGGAAGAAAAUGACGGUACCUGAAGAAGAAGCCCCGGCUAACUACGUGCCAGCAGCCGCGGUAAUACGUAGGGGGCAAGCGUUAUCCGGAUUUACUGGGUGUAAAGGGAGCGUAGACGGCAGUGCAAGUCCGGAGUGAAAGCCCGGGGCUCAACCCUGGGACUGCUCUGGAAACUGUAAAGCUGGAGUGCGGGAGGGGCAGGCGGAAUUCCUGGUGUAGCGGUGAAAUGCGUAGAUAUCAGGAGGAACACCGGCGGCGAAGGCGGCCUGCUGGACCGUGACUGACGUUGAGGCUCGAGAGCGUGGGGAGCAAACAGGAUUAGAUACCCUGGUA